CCUACGGGUGGCAGCAGUGGGGAAUAUUGGGCAAUGGGCGCAAGCCUGACCCAGCAACGCCGCGUGAAGGAAGAAGGCUUUCGGGUUGUAAACUUCUUUUCUCAGGGACGAAGCAAGUGACGGUACCUGAGGAGUAAGCCACGGCUAACUACGUGCCAGCAGCCGCGGUAAUACGUAGGUGGCAAGCGUUAUCCGGAUUUACUGGGUGUAAAGGGGGUGUAGGCGGGAAAGCAAGUCAGAUGUGAAAACCAUGGGCUCAACCUGUGGCCUGCAUUUGAAACUGUUUUUCUUGAGUACUGGAGGGGCAGACGGAAUUCCGAGUGUAGCGGGGAAAUGCGUAGAUAUUAGGAGGAACACCAGUGGCGAAGGCGGUCUGCUGGACAGCAACUGACGCUGAGGCGCGAAAGCGUGGGGAGCAAACAGGAUUAGAUACCCCAGUAGUC
rnacentral:rRNA from 1 species